AGCGAACGCUGGCGGCAGGCCUAACACAUGCAAGUCGAACGGACCCUUCGGGGUUAGUGGCGGACGGGUGAGUAACACGUGGGAACGUGCCCUUUGGUUCGGAACAACUCAGGGAAACUUGAGCUAAUACAGAAUGUGCCCUUUGGGGGAAAGAUUUAUAGCCAUAGGAGCGGCCCGCGUCUGAUUAGCUAGUUGGUGGGGUAAUGGCCUACCAAGGCUACGAUCAGUAGCUGGUCUGAGAGGAUGAACAGCCACAUUGGGACUGAGACACGGCCCAAACUCCUACGGGAGGCAGCAGUGGGGAAUCUUGCGCAAUGGUCGAAAGCCUGACGCAGCCAUGCCGCGUGAAUGAUGAAGGUCUUAGGAUUGUAAAAUUCUUUCACCGGGGACGAUAAUGACGGUACCCGGAGAAGAAGCCCCGGCUAACUUCGUGCCAGCCGCCGCAGUAACAC
rnacentral:rRNA from 1 species